CCUACAGGAGGCUGCAGUGAGGAAUAUUGGUCAAUGGACGAGAGUCUGCACCCGCCAAGUAGCGUGAAGGAUGACUGCCCUAUGGGUUGUAAACUUCUUUUAUCUGGGCAUAAAAUGUUCCACGUGUGGGAUUUUGUAUGUACCCUAUGAAUAAGCAUCGGCUACCUCCGUGCCAGCAGCCGCGGUAAUACGGAGGAUACGAUCGUUAUCCGGGUUUAUUGGGGUUAAAGGGCGCGUAGGUGGAUGGUCAAGUCAGGUGUGAAAGUUUGCGGCUUAACCGUAAAAUUGAAGUUGAAACUGGCAGUCUUGAGUACAGUAGAGGUGGGCGGAAUUCGUGGUGUAGCGGUGAAAUGCUGAGAUAGCACGAAGAACUCCGAUUGCGAAGGCAGCUCACUGGACUGCAACUGACACUGAGGCUCGAAAGUGUGGGUAUCAAACAGGAUUAGAUACCCGAGUAGUC
rnacentral:rRNA from 1 species